rnacentral:rRNA from 1 species
AUACGUAGGGUGCAAGCGUUAAUCGGAAUUACUGGGCGUAAAGCGUGCGCAGGCGGUUUUGUAAGACAGAGGGGAAAUCCCCGGGCUCAACCUGGGAACUGCCUUUGUGACUGCAAGGCUAGAGUACGGCAGAGGGGGAUUGAAUUCCGCGUGUAGCAGUGAAAUGCGUAGGUAUGCGGAGGAACAUCGAUGGCGAAGGCAAUCCCCUGGGCCUGUACUGACGCUCAUGCACGAAAGCGUGGGGAGCAAACAGGAUUAGAUACUCUGGUAGUCCACGCCCUAAACGAUGUCAACUGGUUGUUGGGUCUUCAUUGACUCAGUAACGAAGCUAACGCGUGAAGUUGACCGCCUGGGGAGUACGGCCGCAAGGUUGAAACUCAAAUGAAUUGACGGGG